CCUACGGGAGGCAGCAGUGGGGAAUUUUGGACAAUGGGCGAAAGCCUGAUCCAGCAAUGCCGCGUGAGUGAAGAAGGCCAUCGGGUUGUAAAGCUCUUUUGUCAGGGAAGAAACGGUGAGGGCUAAUAUCUCUUGCUAAUGACGGUACCUGAAGAAUAAGCACCGGCUAACUACGUGCCAGCAGCCGCGGUAAUACGUAGGGUGCAAGCGUUAAUCGGAAUUACUGGGCGUAAAGCGUGCGCAGGCGGUUUUGUAAGUCUGUCGUGAAAUCCCCGGGCUCAACCUGGGAAUUGCGAUGGAGACUGCAAGGCUAGAAUCUGGCAGAGGGGGGUAGAAUUCCACGUGUAGCAGUGAAAUGCGUAGAGAUGUGGAGGAACACCGAUGGCGAAGGCAGCCCCCUGGGUCAAGAUUGACGCUCAUGCACGAAAGCGUGGGGAGCAAACAGGAUUAGAUACCCUGGUAGUCCACGCCCUAAACGAUGUCUACUAGUUGUCGGGUUUUAAUUAACUUGGUAACGCAGCUAACGCGUGAAGUAGACCGCCUGGGGAGUACGGUCGCAAGAUUAAAACUUAAAGGAAAUUUGACCGG
rnacentral:rRNA from 1 species